rnacentral:rRNA from 1 species
UACGUAGGGGGCAAGCGUUGUCCGGAAUCAUUGGGCGUAAAGAGCGUGUAGGCGGUUCGGUAAGUCGGCUGUGAAAGUCCAGGGCUCAACCCUGGGAUGCCGGUCGAUACUGCCGGACUAGAGUUCGGAAGAGGCGAGUGGAAUUCCCGGUGUAGCGGUGAAAUGCGCAGAUAUCGGGAGGAACACCUAUGGCGAAGGCGGUUGCCUGGAGCUUUGCUGACGCUGAUGCGCGAAAGCGUGGGGAGCGAUCCGG